rnacentral:lncRNA from 1 species
GGCGCCGGAGGAAGGCCCGGCGAGGCAGACGCCCGCGGCGGAAUGGCGACGGGCCAGAGCCAGUCUCGGCUCCAACGGCUGGGCGACCGAGCUCCUGGCGGCUGCCCGCGCGCGGCCCUGGUCUGUCCCGCCUACCUCCACCCACCCCCGGACCGAGCGGCCCUGAGUCACCGGUUGGAGAUGCGCGACCCCGGCCCGGGCCCGCGCUGCGGAGCUGCCUUUCUGGACUGCGCUCUGAACUGCGCUCUGGAACAGGGUUUAAGGUGUGUUCGGCGUGUCUUUGGAAAGGGACGGCUGGGCGGGAGGAGAGUCUGGAGUUUGCACCGGAAUCCUCCGCAGCCUAGGAUUCCGAGCCGCCGGAGGUCCCGCCCCGAGGAGGGAUUGGAAGCUGGUGCACUUGACAUUCGAAGAGAGCGAAGGGGAAGAGACGCUGUUUCAUAGCCAGUGAAAGGAGAAUGGGGGUACAACCACCCCACCUCUUCCGUUGGCCUGGGGCUCCCAGCUUUCAUGAUGCUUCUUUCCACCCCGCCUCGUUGUCCCCUGGACAACCCUGGGGUAUUAUCAUCACCAUUUCAUCAGGAAGAAGGGAGGCGGCCAGAGAGGCUGGAAGAUUCGCUGGAGACCACACGACUAAUGAGUGGGCAGAGCCCAGUCGAGAAACCACCUCUUCGUCUGCCACUUUGAACAAAGUGCAAAACACGGUGUUGAGAGACACGGACACAGAAAUCAUUGAGAUUGUGCCCCAGCCCUGGUGGCACUGAGCAUCUGAUGUGAACUACUCUCACUCCGGGCAGAAGGCAAGGUGGGCUAAAUUAGUUCUGGGAGAUCAGCACAGUAUCAGGGACAGAACAGACACUCAGAUGUGAAAUAAACAAACCAAGCAGGGAUCACAGAGGAAAAAUAUUGUAUUGCAAGGUGGUCUUAGGGGGAGGCUUCUCACAGAAGGUAGAUAAAUCCUUUGAAUAAAUUCUUAAGAGAGAGGAAAGGGAGGACAGGGCAGGAUGUACUGCAUGAACAGCAUGAGAAAAGGUCCAGAGGAUGAAAGUGCUUGAUGUUUUCAAGGAAGGGAUCUACCUGGCGGUGCCACGGCCCAGGAUGCUGGGAAGUUAUUGGUGGGAGUUGAAGUUGGUCAGGCCGGGCGAGUCUGGACUCAGGAGGCCCUUUUAUGUGAGACACAGGGUUGUCAGGGUGUUUGCAUCCUGCUGGUACUCCUGGGCACUGGCUCAUCUGAAGGACCACAUUAGGUCCCGGCCUCUGAAUGAAGCUACUUCGGGAAUCAGGCAGAUGGUGAGGUCACAGUUCAUGCUUUCUCCCAACCACCCCCAUCAGCAUUUCCCUGUUUCUCCAGCACUCAGGACUGAAGCACUUUUGUAAUAGAUGUUCCGUACGCUUCGGUUGGAGUGAAGUGAAUUGAAGGAAGAAAACCUGAAUGGGUUUUUUGCUGCAGAAAAGUCAUUGUUUUAACUGCAAUACCCUUUCCUCACUCAGAAGACUAACCACAAGGACAAGUCCAAAAAUGGCCCUACCAAGAAAGUGACUCUAGAAAGAAGGGGACGCGUAAAAGAGGGCCUCACAAAGAAAUCUAUAAGAAUAGCGGGGCGGGCUUCCCUGGUGGCGCAGUGGUUGAGAGUCUGCCUGCCGAUGCAGGGGACACAGGUUCGUGCCCCGGUCCGGGAAGAUCCCACAUGCCGCGGAGUGGCUGGGCCCGUGAGCCAUGGCCGCUGAGCCUGUGCAUCCGGAGCCUGUGCUCCGCAACGGGAGAGGCCACAACAGUCAG